rnacentral:tRNA from 1 species
GGGCGCAUGGUCUAGUGGUAUGAUUCUUCUUUAGGGCUGGUCGUUUGACCGAAGAUCCAUAGAAGAGGUCCUGGGUUCAAUUCCCAGUGCGCCCC